UUAUUAUUAGAGAACUCUCGACACUGGACCUAAAUACCUUGUUAUACAUUAACCCUAAACUAAUCACUACCAAGUACUAAUAAAUUAAGCACACAUACAUUAGCAGCUAGCAUACAUGAUUAGGAUUAUAAUGGUACUACUUGUUUUGGUUCUUGGUGGCAAACUUGGACUCAUCAAUCUCAACACCUUCCUCUUCAGCACGCUCUUCUCCAGAUUUCUCCAUGGUGCUGAAUCCACCCUUGCGACCCAUCUCUUGGUACCCUUCUGUUCCCAACUGCUCCCUCCUUGUUUGCCCUCCCUUACUCCUUCCUGAUAAUGAAACAACAUUUUUAUAUCAUAUAGUUGCAUAUUCAUUUAUAUACAUAAGUAAUAUUAUUACUGACAUAAUAAUAAUAAUAAUAAUUAAUAACCUUCAGCAAGAUGCUCCUGAGCCUCAAGGGACUUGCCACCAGUUCCACCAGGAACCACAGUCUCUCCCUGUUUUGCCCUUUCAUCAAGCUCUUGUCGGUUUUGUUGCUUAGAUGCCAUGCUUAUAACUUAUAUCUAUGCAAUAAUUUAGUUGACUAUACUUGACUCUUAGCUCAAUAUGCUAACAUAGUCCUUAAUCAGGCUUUAUAUAGGCAACAAAUUUGUGUUGCAUAAUUAAUGCUAAAAUUAUUCGAUAGUAAGGAAGAAAAAUCAAGAACGUGACAGCUACUUAGAAAAGAACAGUGAGCGUGGUCAUACAUGGACACGUGCGGUGCAUGCGUGGCAAAACAUAAGACACGCAACGCAACUCUGAAAAUGACACGACGUCCUUGGGAAUAGGGCAGCUAACUUUUAAUAUGAGCAUGUACUCUUUGUUCGGUUGGCAGGUUUGUAUUAUACAGUGUUUCUGAUAAGUUUCUAUAGUUUUUAUUAACUUUUAACUAAUUUCUCUUUAGCAUUGUAUUGUUUAUUCUUUCAAGUAGGAUUGUCAGGUGCUACAAUUAAUCUCUGAUAAAAGUGCCUUCAACCUUGGUCUUCGUAACAAUUGCAAAUUCGCUUCCUUAACAUAUGAACUAUAUGUAUUCAAUCCAUACUCUAAAUUUUUCAAUUCCAUCUUACUUGACACAACUCUGUAACAAAUAAAUUUACGAGUAAAGUGAUAAACAAAGGGCUUGUUUUGGUGAGCUUUUAAGAAAAGAUCUUUUUUCGAAUUAUUUUUUUUAAAAGAUCUUAUAGAUAAGUAAAAGUAAUUUUAUGUUUGGAUAUCUCAUAUAAAAAAGAUUUUUUUAUCUAUCAAUUAUAUUUGGAUAUAACAAUAUAAAUUUUUUUUUAUUUAUUUAUUACAUGAAAAACAUCUUUUUUUUAAAAAUUUUUUUUUUAAAAAAAAUGUAAAUUACAGCUUCUCAAAAAAAUCUUUUUUUUUUUUAUUUUACUAAUACUUUUACUUUUAUUACUAAAAAUUUACCAAACAUUGUUAAAAAAUUUAAAAAGAUCUUUUUCAUUGAAAAAAAUCUUUUUUUAAUAAAAUAAUAGCGCCCAAAUAUACACAAAUUUCAUCCAAUAUUUACCUUUCGAAUAAAUUAAAUUUUAAACAAAAUAAUUAACCUAUUAAUUUUCAGUUUUCUCUUCCACCCAAACUGAUUGUAAUAGGAUGUUUGAAUUAAACGGAAUANNNNNNNNNNNNNNNNNNNNNNNNNNNNNNNNNNNNNNNNNNNNNNNNNNNNNNNNNNNNNNNNNNNNNNNNNNNNNNNNNNNNNNNNNNNNNNNNNNNNNNNNNNNNNNNNNNNNNNNNNNNNNNNNNNNNNNNNNNNNNNNNNNNNNNNNNNNNNNNNNNNNNNNNNNNNNNNNNNNNNCAUAUUAUUUUACAAAUUAUUUUACAUGUUAUUUUAGAAAAGAUGAGAUAAUGAUACUUGCAAAUUUUUUCCAAAAUUAAGCCCAAACAUUCUUUCCAAAAAUUUAGUUCUAGAAAAAGUUUGAUAAUUUGAUUUUAAUUUAAAAAUUAGAACUAAAAUCGUAUCUAAAAAUAUCCGAAGAGUACCCAAAACAAUUAUAUUCUUCGAAUACAAGAACUCAAAAUAAUGAGUUAGAUUGAGUUUACACUAUUUGAACUAAGAAGGGACAACAUGUUGUACUUUAAUUCCAUUGCUUCAUGGAUAUGCUGAUAUUUAGGACAUGAAAGCAAGAUAUGAAAUGAGAAAUGCAAGCAGCACUGUUUAUAUAACGCAAAGCAAAGUGUGUCAAUGACGGACUCUUUUGUCUCAUCACUUUUCAGUCAAUUAAAGUUAAGAUCUUCUUACUCUCCUCCUCCUCCUCCCUCUUCUCGUCAAUUUUCAACACAACUGGGCAAAUAUACUAGGAAUUAGAAAUAUUACGACAAAGAUUAAUAAUUUUAUUUUGCCAAAUACAUGACUGUUUAGGUUGCAAUACUUUGUUAGUCUAGCAAAGAUGAAAUGAUAUUUGCACCCAUCAUAAGUAAUGACAUUAUUAUGCUACAACAUAAACCACGAUUCAACUCUCUAAAGGAAAAUAUUAGAUUUGUCAUUACAUCAUUAAACACAUCAUUACAGACAAACCAUAUACUCCUACUAUCAAAGGCUAACAACUGAAGCACUAGUAAUAAUAAGCAUAACCUGUCAAUAUAUGCUAGCUAGCAGUUAUUAUUAGAGAACUCUAGACACUGGACCUAAAUACCUUGUUAUAUAUUAACCCUAAGCUUCACUACCUAGUACUAAUAAAUUAAGCACACAUACAUUAGAAGCUAGCAUACAUGAUUAGGAUUAUAAUAAGAUGAUGAUACUACUUGUUUUGGUUCUUGGUGGUAAACUUGGACUCGUCAAUCUCAACGCCUUCCUCUUCAGCACGCUCUCCUCCAGAUUUCUCCAUGGUGCUGAAUCCACCCUUACGACCCAUCUCUUGGUACCCUUCUGUUCCCAACUGCUCCCUCCUUGUUUGCCCUCCCUUGCUCCUUCCUGAUAAUCAAACAACAUUUUUAUAUCAUAUAGCUGCAUAUUCAUUUAUAUACAUACGUAACAUUAUUACUGAGAUAAUAAUAAUAAUAAUAAUAAUAAUAAUUAAUAACCUUCAGCAAGAUGCUCCUGAGCCUCAAGGGACUUGCCACCAGUUCCACCAGGGACCACAGUCUCUCCCUGUUUUGCCCUUUCAUCAAGCUCUUGUCGGUUUUGUUGUUUAGAUGCCAUGCUUAUAACUUGUAUCUAUGCAAUAAUUUAGUUGACUAUACUUGACUCUUAGCUCAAUAUGCUAACAUAGUCCUUGAUGAGGCUUUAUAUAGGCAACAAAUUUGUGUUGCAUAAUUAAUGCUAAAAUUAUUCGAUAGUAAGGAAGAAAAAUCAAGAACGUGACAACUACUUAGAAAGGAACAGUGAGCGUGUCCAUGCAUGGACACGUGGUGCAUGCCUGGCAAAACAUGAGUAAGACACGCAACGCAACUCCCAAAAUGACACGACGUCCAGUUAUUUAUUUGGGAAUAGGGCAGCAAACUUUUAAUAUGAGCAUGUACUCUUUGUUCGGUUGGCAAAUUUGUAUUCUACAGUGUUUCUGAUAAGUUUCUUUAGUUUUUAUUAGCUUUUAACUAAUUUCUUUUUAGCAUUGUAUUGUUUAUUCAUUCAAGUAGGAUUGUCAUGUGCUACAAUUAAGCUGUGUGAUAAAAGUGCCUUCAACCUUGGUCUUCAUAACACUUGCAAAUUCGCUUCCUUAACAUAUGAACUAUAUGUAUUCAAUCCGUACUCUAAAUUUUUCAAUUCCAAUAUUUAUCAGUAAAAUGAUAAACAAAUUUCAUCCAAUAUUUAUCUUUCGAAUAAAUUAAUUUUUAAACAAAAUAAUUAACCUAUUAAUUUUCAGUUUUCUUUCCCACCCAAACUGAUUGUAAUAGGACGUCUGAAUUAAACGGAAUCAAAAUGAAGGUAUAUAGUAGUGUAUACUCCACAGCCUUGUUUUAUAAAAAUUUUAUGGUAAAUUUUACUAUAUUUUUUUUAAAACAAUAUAUAAUUUAUUUUGUAUGAUGUGUCACUUUUUAAUUGGUUAUUAGGUUAAUCUUGAUUAGACUAUUUUAUAAUUAAAUUAGUUUUUAAAAUGGAUAAUUAUUCAAUUUUUUCAAAAAUCUUAAAUUUAUAAAAAUCUAAUCUAAAAUUAGUGUCUCUCUGCAUGGCCAAUAUCCAUAAAUGGCUUUAGAUUAAAAACUGAAGUAAACCAAAUACAAAUAGGCACCAUUUUGACACUUUCGCAAUUCGUCGGUUCUUAAAAAAAUUUUCCCCGCUGAAUUCCUCUCAAAUUUCUUUGUAUUGAUUAUGAAACAUCAUAACUGUUGUAGAAGAUGAUACUUGCAAAUUUUGUCCAAAAUUAAGCCCAAACAUUCUUUCCAAAAAUUUAGUUCUAGAAGAAGUUUGUUAAUUUGAUUUUAAUUUAAAAAUUAGAACUAAAAUCGUAUCUAAAAGUAUCCGAAGAGUACUCAAAGUAACUAGUUAGAUUGAGUUCACACUGUUUGAACUAAGAAGGGACAACAUGUUGUACUUUGAUUCGAUAUGCUGAUAUUCAGGACUUGAAAAUAUGAAAUGAGAAAUGCAAGCAGCACAGUUUAUAUAACGCAAAGUGUGCCAAUGACAGACUCUUUUGUCUCGUCACUUUUCAGUCAACUAAAGUUAAAUUCUUCUUACCACCUCUCUGUUCUCGUCAAUUUUCAACGCACAACUGGGCAAAUCUACUAGGAAUUAGAAAUAUUACGGCAAAGAUUAAUAAUUUUAUUUUGGCAAAUACAUGACUAAACAUUACAAAAUUAAUGUUUAGGUUGCAAUACUUUGUUACUUUAGCAAAGAUGAAAUGAUAUUUGCACCCAUCAUAAGUAAUGGCAUUAUUAUGCUACAACAUAAACCACUGUUCAACUCUCCAAAGGAAAAUAUUAGAUUUCUCAUUACAUCAUUAAACACAUCAUGCAGACAAACCGUACAUAUUAACAACUGAAGCAUAAAACAACUGAAGCACUAGUAAUAAUGAGCAUAACCUCUCAAUAUAUGCUAGCUAGUUAUUAUUAGAGAACUCUAGACACUGGACCUAAAUACUUUGUUAUAUAUUAACCCUAAACAUCACUACCUAGUACUAAUAAACUAAGCACACAUACAUUAGAAGCUAGCAUACAUGAUUAGGAUUAUAAUAAGAUUAUGGUACUACUUGUUUAGGUUCUUGGUGACAAACUUGGACUCAUCAAUCUCAACGCCUUCCUCUUCAGCACGCUCUCCUCCAGAUUUUUCCAUGGUGCUAAAUCCACCCUUGCGACCCAUCUCUUGGUAUCCUUCUGUUCCUAACUGCUCCCUCCUUGUUUGCCCUCCCUUGCUCCUUCCUGAUAGUGAAACAACAUUUUUAUGCCAUAUAGUUGCA
rnacentral:lncRNA from 1 species